AUUGAACGCUGGCGGCAGGCCUAACACAUGCAAGUCGAGCGGAUGAAGGGAGCUUGCUCCUGGAUUCAGCGGCGGACGGGUGAGUAAUGCCUAGGAAUCUGCCUGGCAGUGGGGGAUAACGUCCGGAAACGGGCGCUAAUACCGCAUACGUCCUGAGGGAGAAAGUGGGGGAUCUUCGGACCUCACGCUAUCAGAUGAGCCUAGGUCGGAUUAGCUAGUUGGUGGGGUAAAGGCCUACCAAGGCGACGAUCCGUAACUGGUCUGAGAGGAUGAUCAGUCACACUGGAACUGAGACACGGUCCAGACUCCUACGGGAGGCAGCAGUGGGGAAUAUUGGACAAUGGGCGAAAGCCUGAUCCAGCCAUGCCGCGUGUGUGAAGAAGGUCUUCGGAUUGUAAAGCACUUUAGGUUGGGAGGAAGGGCAGUAAGUUAAUACCUUGCUGUUUUGACGUUACCAACAGAAUAAGCACCGGCUAACUUCGUG
rnacentral:rRNA from 1 species